rnacentral:rRNA from 1 species
CAGUAGCCGCGGGAAUACGUAGGUGGCAAGCGUUGUCCGGAAGUAUUGGGCGUAAGGGGCUCGCAGGCGGUUUCUUAAGUCUGAUGUGAAAGCCCCCGGCUCAACCGGGGAGGGUCAUUGGAAACUGGGAAACUUGAGUGCAGAAGAGGGGAGUGGAAUUCCACGUGUAGCGGUGAAAUGCGUAGAGAUGUGGAGGAACACCAGUGGCGAAGGCGACUCUCUGGUCUGUAACUGACGCUGAGGAGCGAAAGCGUGGGGAGCGAACAGGAUUAGAUACCCCUGUAGUCCCUGUCUCUUAUAC